GGGACACAGCUGAGAGUGAAAUUGGAAGUUGCUCAGUCAUGUCCGAUUCUUUGCGACUCCAUGAACUGUAUAGUCCAUGGACUUCUUCGCCAGAAUACUGGAGUGGGCAGUCUUUCCUUUCUCUAGGGGAUCUCCCCAACCCAGGGAUUGAACCCAGGUCUCCCACAUUGCAGGCGGAUUCUUUACCAGCUGAACCACCAGGGAGGUGGAACCCAACCAGAACCACUGGACAAAGCCUCCUCCAAGGUUCAUCAUAACCCCUGAACUUCCAGCUAUGAAAGCCAGUAUUUUCCUUAAUGUAUAAUCCAUUUUGAACCUGUAUUCCUUGUUGUUGCUGCUGCUGCUAAGUCGCUUCAGUCGUGUCCGACUCUGUGCAACUCCGUAGAUGGCAGCCCACCAGGCUCCCCCAUCCCUGGGAUUCUCUAGGCAAGAACACUGGAGUGGGUUGCCAUUUCCUUCUCCAAUGCAUGAAAGUGAAAAGAGAAAGUGAAGUCACUCAGUUGUGUCCAACUUUUAGCGACAUGGACUGUAGCCUACCAGGCUCCUCUGUCCAUGGGAUUUUCUAGAUGAGGAACUUAAGGCUUGGAGAAACUAACUUGUGAGGCUUCCUUGAGAUGGUAAUGGAGGAAUGGGAACGUAAAGUUAGGUCUAGGUGCCUCUGGAGCCCAUGCCCUUAAUUGUGAUGUCAUGUUUCCUGAGAGUUCCAGGUUAGGGUGGAGACAGGAAUUCAGAGCUUCUGAAUUUCAGACUGGUUUGCACUUGUCUUAUCUGGCUAUUCAAAGUGAGUGUAGCUUCAGAACUAGAGAAUUUGAUCAUGUAAGCUUUGCAAACCAGUAGCAGAGUAGAGAUGCUUGGAUUCUUAAUCCACUCUGCCAUUUACUGGCCAUAUCAGCUUGCACAUUUAUCUUGUCUGAGCCCCUACUUUUAUUUCUUUAGGAUGGAAAGAAUACAGAUUUCACUGUCUCUGUCAUGGGUUUUGAGGAGUCAGUCCAAUUGUAUUUACUAUAAAGUUUAGAAAAGCAUGCAUUAUCAUUAUCUCACAAAUUUCUCAUUCCUUCUUACUAUGUUUCCACAUCCAGAAACACUCAAUUAUAAUAAUGGAAGAUAUCCAUUAUUGUUAUUAUUGUUGUUAUUAAUUAGUGAGGGAGUAAGAAAAAGGCAAAAUGUUCCUGGGUUUAUGCUGAUUUUGGAAAACUUGCUAAUCUAGUACUGGAAUAAGACUGUGGACCAGACUUUGACAGAAUGGCCAAGAGCUGUACCACCAGGAAAAACACUAUUUUAGAG
ensembl:lncRNA